UUGGAUUGUGGGUACUCAAGCAGCGCGGAACUAGGUAGGCAGGCUACCUGUUGCAAUCUCUUACUAUCUUUUUUGCUGUCUCGUCCUGUCUCUCUCUCUCUCUCUCGCCCUUGGUGAGAAGCACCUUCUCUCAUUUCCCUGUGAGCGACAAGAAGGAAAAUUAGAUCUAACCAUAAGAUCUGCCCUGGUCAGUAUGUUCCUCCGAACACGGAUGGAGUCACAGUGGAAGCCUUGUCCGUGCCACUCAGACAAAACUAUCUGACAGCCAUAGAUCUGCCUAUAACAGUUUGAUGACUAGAUUUGCAUGCCAUGUGGCUCAUUCAUAGAACGGUUAUGAACUGAAAUUGUACAGUGACUCGUCGCAGUAACUCAAAGUUGAGUUGAGUUCAAAUGGCAACGUUUUGUUACAGCCCAUUUUCAUCCCUCUACUCUAACCUGAUUUACACCAUCUGGCUGCGUUCAGCUACGUCACGCGGGGGCGUUCCAAAGCAUAUCAGAGGGCAAGGUUCAGGUAACCUCUACUCAUCUUCUGGGGAGUGCUUUUGAAACCCCUGUGAAAAAGUGGGCUUGGGGGUCCACUCUCACAACGGGAUUUUGGCGCCAAGGCACACAGAGGUUGAAGAAGACUUUGACAGAGGCGGCAACCAGAUGAAGAAAUUGUGCUAGUAGUGAGGGUUUAUUUACAAGUGUGCAAAAUGUGACAAAACAAAAGACUUUCAAAAUAAAGAAAACAAAAACCAACCAGAGGGUUGUUCAGGACGAGCUAAUAAACAAUUAAAGUUCAAGGAUUCAGUAAGGCAAACCUCAGCACAAACACCAAUCUUCCUCCUCAGUCUCUUUCUCAAGAGUGGCAAAAA